rnacentral:rRNA from 1 species
AGUGAACGCUGGCGGUAGGCCUAACACAUGCAAGUCGAACGGCAGCACAGUAAGAGCUUGCUCUUACGGGUGGCGAGUGGCGGACGGGUGAGGAAUACAUCGGAAUCUACUUUUUCGUGGGGGAUAACGUAGGGAAACUUACGCUAAUACCGCAUACGACCUACGGGUGAAAGCAGGGGAUCUUCGGACCUUGCGCGAUUGAAUGAGCCGAUGUCGGAUUAGCUAGUUGGCGGGGUAAAGGCCCACCAAGGCGACGAUCCGUUGCUGGUCUGAGAGGAUGAUCAGCCACACUGGAACUGAGACACGGUCCAGACUCCUACGGGAGGCAGCAGUGGGGAAUAUUGGACAAUGGGCGCAAGCCUGAUCCAGACAUACCGCGUGGGUGAAGAAGGCCUUCGGGUUGUAAAGCCCUUUUGUUGGGAAAGAAAAGCAGCAGGUUAAUACCCCGCUGUUCUGACGGUACCCAAAGAAUAAGCACCGGCUAACUUCGUG